CUGGGUUUACCUUUAGGGGUUUUAGAAAAAUAAAAAAAGGAACACAUGGCAGUAGAAGACCCACCCGGUGUUUAUUUUUACUGUAUAUUGCAUGACGUGAUUUUUUACGGUAAAUUAUCUUUUUUUUCUCGAAAUUUAUAUUUAAUGUAUAUUGUAUAUGUGAUUAUACAGUAAAAGAAAUUACCUUUUUUCUUGAAAUUUAUUGUAUUUUUCUGUAUAUUUCCGUUACUCAAUAUUUAUUUUAUUUUUACUGUAUUUCUUUUUAUAAAUAAUGUGAUUAUAUAUUUACUGUUGUGUACUCUUCUUUUGCAUUUUAUGAUGUUUAAUUGGUCAAGGAGUAAACUCUCUUAACCGUAAAUUAACCAUGGUAAUUACUAAUUAUAAUAAUUAAUUAAGAAGUAAAUCAUGUUAACUUGUCCACAUGUCACAUGGUGAAUGGAGUCCAUUUUUAUUGUUUUAACGGGGCGUCCGUUUGGAAUGUAUUCCCUU
rnacentral:lncRNA from 1 species